rnacentral:rRNA from 1 species
UAGUCGGAGGUGUGUCUCGGACGGUCGGUUCGCCGCUUGUCGGUGCUCAACUGGCCGGUCCGGACGUCCUGCCGGUGGGGCUGUAAAAGGCCCCGUUAUCCUUCUUUGGUCCUCUUCACCGAGUGCCUUGGUGGGCCGGCACGUUUACUUUGAACAAAUUAGAGUGCUCAAAGCAGGCCGUUGGUCGCCUGAAUACUGUGUGCAUGGAAUAAUGGAAUAGGACCUCGGUUCCAUUUUGUUGGUUUUCAGAACUCGAGGUAAUGAUUAAUAGGGACGGACGGGGGCAUUCGUAUUGCGACGUUAGAGGUGAAAUUCUUGGAUCGUCGCAAGACGAACCGAUGCGAAAGCAUUUGCCAAGAACGUUUUCGUUGAUCAAGAACGAAAGUUAGAGGUUCGAAGGCGAUCAGAUACCGCCCUAGUUCUAACCAUAAACGAUGCCAGCUAGCCAUCCGCCGAAGUUCCUUCUAUGACUCGGCGGGCAGCUUCCGGGAAACCAAAGCUCUUGGGUUCCGGGGGAAGUAU